rnacentral:rRNA from 1 species
GACGAACGCUGGCGGCGUGCUUAACACAUGCAAGUCGAACGGAAAGGCCCUGCUUGCAGGGUGCUCGAGUGGCGAACGGGUGAGUAACACGUGGGUGAUCUGCCCCUUACUUUGGGAUAAGCCUGGGAAACUGGGUCUAAUACUGGAUAGGACCAUGCUGUAGGUGGUGUGGUGGAAAGAUUAGUUUCGGUAAGGGAUGAGCUCGCGGCCUAUCAGCUUGUUGGUGGGGUAAUGGCCUACCAAGGCGUCGACGGGUAGCUGGCCUGAGAGGGUGGACGGCCACAUUGGGACUGAGAUACGGCCCAGACUCCUACGGGAGGCAGCAGUGGGGAAUAUUGCACAAUGGGCGCAAGCCUGAUGCAGCGACGCCGCGUGGGGGAUGACGGCCUUCGGGUUGUAAACUCCUUUCAGCCAUGACGAAGCCCUUGUGGUGACGGUAGUGGUAGAAGAAGCACCGGCUAACUACGU